GGAAUAGGAGACUUCUUCCGAACAAACAUUUUGACACUUUAGUGGAGGAAUGUGAAGAUGGUGCCACGAGUUUCUCCACAGGUCGACGCGCAGGCGCAGUGUUGGCCAACACUGCGCCUCUCCAUCGCAUUUCAGUGUCAGGCUUUAAACCUUGUAAAAAAACUGCAACUCCUAUUAACCGUCCAAAAAAUGUCGCAAACAAGCAAUGCAAGCGAUAAAGCUUCUCCAAUACUUCAGUCUUUUGGACCUGGAGACACUCCAGAAAGUGUCACAUCUUUUGUCAUGGAAACAAGCUCAGCGUCUAACUCAGAGGAGCAUGGCGACAGCAGAUCCUCCUCUACCUCGACAAACUUAAGCUGUUAUCCCUCCCCAGAGAUUUUAAGAAGAGAAGCAGUGGAAACACAGACUUUCCUUAUUGGAGAGGAGAUGCUUGGGAUUAUCUGUAAUGUUAAAAACUCUACCCUGCUGGAUGACAGCCAUUCGAAGAGCAUCCACACGUAUCAUCCACCCAACAUGUCCACUAUUAUAGAUGUAUCCACACACGUUGCUGAAAAGAACAAUGAGAGCAGCUACCAGAAGGAAACUCUCACUGAAAGUAAGAUACAAAUUGAUUCAUUUCAUUUAGGAAAUAUUAUUUUUAAGCUACACGAUUUAUAAGUUUCUCUGUUUUUAUAUUAUUAAAUCCAUUUUUAUAACCAAAUUAUACCUAUGUUUCUUUGUAAUCUGCAUCUACAGAUAAAUCUCCAGAGAUGAAACUUGCACAAGAUGUAAGAAAAAUAUGUCUUUCUACAUCAUUUUAAAUGUUUUUCGUUAAUCAACUGUGUUUAUUUCAGUAGCAGUUUACUAAUUGUGUUUUUGCCCUAGUUUGUUGGGAGAAGGCCCAUAGUGUGCAGAAAAAAGGUUUCAUUCAAAAGCCCGGUCAUUUCUGAGCCUCUGAAAGAGAAACGUGCUCCAUCGCCGUCAGGCAUAAAUGACACCAUCCGGAAACUAUCCCGAGUUUCUGAGCGGACGAAACCAGAUGCACAGAUGCCCAAAAUGGAUGAAAUCAGCUCUAAAAAAGAAAUACCGGUGACCCCAAAAAGGCCUGUCGAGACUGAGAAAACCAUGUUCUUUGACUUUACCAGCAACACUGACAUGGAUGCUCUCUUUCAGAACAUGAGAGAUAGAAGUGCAAAACUUAGGUGCUCAUUUUAUUUUCCUUUUACUGUAGGCACUCAAAGCCCUCUGGGUAAUAAUAGCAAAUCUGAGUUAACCUGAAGUUAACUCUGAUACUACAGUGUACAGUUGCACAACGUAGUUUUUGCCUAAAUGACAAUAUAAAAACAUGAUUGGAACGAACAUGCUCUCUGUGAGAAAUGACUCUGACUUUAGAAGACAUAGAUAAAUUAAUAACACAAAUACAAUGGCAAAAAAGAGAACUAGCUCAUAAAUUAGUUUGAUACAACACAUGAAUGCCUUCAAAACAGUAAAUGAUUGUAUUUUCUUCUUCAGUAUAGGACAUCAAGAAAAUAAACAUACUAAUAAGAGUUUUUAAACCUUAUAAAACUAUACAAGAUGUGGGUAUAUUUUAAUAUGUAAUGUCUGUUUCUAUAGCUCUGUUUCUUCUGUAACCUCUUUUAAUGUAUCUGCAUAUUCUAUAAAGAAAAAACAAUGUUAGAGCCUGUAUAUUUAAUUCUUGUAAUUCAAAUGUGUUGUGAAUGUUGAACACUAGGUGGCGCAUCUGUAUCAGUUUUCUUGUCCUCUUUAAAAAAUAAAAAUAAGAUAUAACACGUGUUAAACGUAUGCCAACGUUUUUAUUUUAAUAUUCACAAUUCUAUA
ensembl:lncRNA